rnacentral:lncRNA from 1 species
UCAGUUUAUCAAUACUCCAAAAUACAUUGUUAGUAUAUAUCAAAACCAUGGUAUUAGGCUAUGCUUCGCUAUCAAAAAUAGCCAGCCACUUUCAGAUAGGUAGCCACAGAUAUAACAUCACUAAGGCAGAACGAUACCCAAACUAUAGCUGAUUUUCCAUAACUUGGGUACCAUAAAUAAUAAUCCAGUACAAUGAAAGAUAAUAGGCCUAAUUCAAAGGUUUAGCCUGAGCCAGCAGAAACCCCCUAGUGACAGAUAAAGAAAACAGUUUAAAUGAUCCAAUCUCAUAGACCGCUAAACCAAAUCUGAUCCAAUCCCAUAUAAACAACCCUCGUGAAUCAGAUACGAUCACUAUAGACAGAUAGAACCCCUAGUUGCUGCCCUGAGGGCCAAACAGAGGGACAUCUGGAAUGAACCCACCCAUCUCUGGAGCAGCAACGGGUGGGGCCUGGACGACGGGUGGGGCGAUGGCCUGGGCGAUAGGUGGGGCGAUGGCCUGGGCGUCAGCUGGGGCGACGGGUGGGGCGACGGGCGGGGCCUGGACGACGGGUGGGGCGAU